rnacentral:rRNA from 1 species
UACUCGAGUGGCGAACGGGUGAGUAACACGUGGGUGAUCUGCCCUGCACUUCGGGAUAAGCCUGGGAAACUGGGUCUAAUACCGGAUAGGAGCCAUUUUAGCGUGAUGGUUGGAAAGUUUUUUCGGUGUAGGAUGAGCUCGCGGCCUAUCAGCUUGUUGGUGGGGUAAUGGCCUACCAAGGCGGCGACGGGUAGCCGGCCUGAGAGGGUGGACGGCCACAUUGGGACUGAGAUACGGCCCAG